GCCAGUGCAGAUGUGCGUGCCAUUUUCAGAGCCUGAAGACCUACCUUCAAGAGGCCCUGGCACUCCUGAAACCCAAGUCUGGCAGAGAGGAAGCCUCGAUACAGCUCUCCUGGUUGCCAAGAACUGCUCUGAUUCCCUGGCAGAGGGAAAUCGUGGCUCUCCAGACAUCAGAGCUCUGAGUGAGGGCUUCAGCAUCACACAGAAGACAGCAAAGCCCUGCUCGCCUCCAGGGGGUUGUGAUGUAUUCUGGUGUUACCUGCUGGAAAGUGGGAGAGCUGAGAGCACAUCUCACCAGCAGGCCACGUGCUGACAGAUGGCGUACAGACCUCAGCAGAUGUCCAUAGCACCGGCUUGGAUCUCUUGUGAAAGCACCUCCAGUUGCACGAGGACUGGUGGUGAGUUCAAGUGCAAGCCGGAGCACACCAGAAAGGGCACCAGGCUGCGGCUGUUCCAAUGCUCCCAACAAGAAGCACCACCUCCCUUUGACAGCCACUAGAACCAUGCACAGAGCUACAAGGACCGCACACUCGUUUUUGCACCGAUGAAGCGUUCGGCAAAAACCUCCUCAAGUAACACUUCCUCUAGAUGUAAGCAUCUCUGAAGUACAAAGUCAUUCCCUCAGCCAUCACUGAAGAGCAGAUGGACAGAAAAAAGCACGUGCAAUAGAGAUGGUGACUGCUAAGGGGUCCGGAUCACGGCCGUGGUGCUGACAGACGAGAGGGGACAAGAAGAUGAUUCCACCUCUGAGCUCAACACCGGAGAGCUACGUCACGUCCCGCCCCGCACAGCCCCGUCAGACCAAGCCUCUGCCCUCUGAGCAGCGUGAUGUACUCGGGCACCACAAGGAGGUUGCAUCAUUACGUGCUGAAGCAAUGUGGAAAGCAACAGCCCCAGAAGCGAGCAGCAGCUUCUCUCCCCACGCGCCCUCCCGAGUCUCGUAUGGGGGUGUGUCAGCAGAUGAAUCAGGCCUACUUACAAAGAAUUACAGCAAACAAUGGCUUCAUGGGUAAAGCGUAACACAAAGCUGCUUCGUCAAACUGACUCCAUAAUGCCCAGCCAGGGAAAUGUUUAAUGAAUCUGUGAGUUUUACAGCAGUAAGUUCUGGCAAUGCUGAAGAUCGCUGUAAGGCACGGGGUGCAGGAGCCAGGGAAGUCUUUUCUGGCAAGUUACCUGUUGCUCUGAGAGCUGAAAUAGCCUGUGGGACAUUUAAGAAAAGGGAGCUCUUGCCUUUUUCCAGAUAUCUCAUUUGGGUUGCAAGACAAAAAAGACAGAAAGGCCCAAUAAGAAUGACACCCCAGAGUGCGCGGUCUGCAAUUUAACACACACAUUUGAGCUCCAAACACAUUCAGCCCCUGCAAGAGGGAAAUGAAAAAAGAAAUUACUUUGGAAACGUCUCUCUUAGGUACCGCAUAGCACCUGCACAGCUGUAUAGCAGAGUGCUGCAUAGCCCAGUGUAUUUUCUCUUAAACUUGAGCAAAUGGGACUUAUCAAUUCCUUAUAACGUUCCACCAUUCUCGAUAUUAUCAAGAAGAAAUCAGGCACUUAAAUGCAAUUGCAUGUGUUAAAAGAACAGAAUAAAAUAAACUAGAAGUCCUGGCUGUAGUGGAGUAGGAAAAGGUUUGUCACUGAAAUGCCAAGAAAGGGAAGGUUAUGCAGAGAACAACAAAUACAGCAAAUGUCGUUUUCUCAGGCACAAAACAAAGUUAUACUUACCAGAGGAGCUGAGUUCAGGCACUGUGUGCACACUCCCCAAACUGGAGAGCAGCAUUUAAUCAAACAAUAAGAGAUGAGGUAGAAGGAAGGAGAAUCUCCUUCUAAAUGAAAGAGGCCACCAGUGAAUAUUUUCUGCUCAUCAUAGGUGGCAACAGCUGGGCCUGUUCUGUCCUAGAGAGGACAGAAGUUUUGCUGCAGGCACAAAGAGAGCAGCCAGCAUAAAGAGACCUCGGGAUCUGCUGCUGAUCCCAGCCCAGAGGAGAGGGCACAGCUCAGGCAGACACAUCUGUGUUCAUGUUCUGCACCUCCCAACAGAGGUCUCCUUCAUGCAGAGGAUGACUCCACCAGGCCAGCUGACGCUGCAUUCCCUGGGAUGAAAGCUAUGACUUAAAGGCAAUAAUCACCAGACCCUUUUCGUCUGUAAAGUUCUUUAACUUCUACACUAAAUUUAGUCUCACUUGAGUUGGACAAAAGAAGCCUCUCCCCGUCUCAUUUCACUGAUCCUGGUGUAAUGCAACCCAAAUCAACCCAGGAAAAUGAACGAAAAAAUUCAUCUCAGACUGAAACACGGACACAAACACUGUGACCAUUUAUCUGCAUAGGCAGACUGCAGGAGCAGAGUCAGAGUACAGAACGCCUCCACUGUGUGUGACAGACAUUCCUUCCCAAGUGUGGACAUGUCAGCCUGUGCCUGUCAGAGAGCCCAAAAAGCUUUUCAUGUGUGCGUGCAGAGGCAGCAGAUGGACACACACUGCUAUACAAACUCAAGGCAGCAAAGAAUUAUUUGCCCUAACAGAGUUUUUUUUGGCAGAACAGCAUCUGAUACACUUCAUGAGAGAUAUUUUGUAGGUAUCUUAUAGUUAACCUUUUCCAGGCAAUGAAAGAAAGCACACUUAAGCCAAAUAAAAAGAUCACACGAAGGCAAAGCCAAAUGCUCUUUAGUAAGGAAAGCAUCACUUAUGCACCCAGAACAACUUUUGCUGAGAUAUACUAAGGUUGUCACAGCCUACCCCCCUCACAUACUGCCCAUUCCUCACCACGGAACACGUUAAUUCUGCAUGACUGAUACACUUUUCCUGAUUUGUGCUUCUUUGGUGAUGGGCUUUAGGUGCAAAUCCAAAUGGCUGCACCAUUGGCUGUAAUAAUGUACAGAAUGACAAAUUGCUGCCUCAAAAAUAAAACACUGAGCUACCAGGAAAGGGAGGACAUUACCAACACCA